AGGUUUUAAUGCAAUGGCAAUUGAACUAAACAAGGAUUACGUGGACCGCAGUCGCUAAUCGUACAGUUUUACGGUGCUGCCUGUUAUCUGAUUGACCACAGGUCUGCCGUGGUUGUUUUAAUCCCGAUUGUUCGAGCGGUUCUUUGCAGCCAUGCUAGGCUACUUCACUGCCUCCACCUCCGCGUCGAGGCAGAACAAAGGGGCGUGAAGAAGAAGAGCCCCUCUCCCUCUCUUCCGGAGAACAUCCAGCAACUUUGUUGAGGCGGCGCGGCCACCAAGUUAGCUCGCGCUCGCUCCAUGCUAACCUGGCGAAGAGGACGCCGCUGCGCCGCUACUAGCUUGCCGAGAAGCAACCGAGGCGACGUCUCUGAUGGGCACUUUGCCGGAGAUAAACGCGAGUCGCAGAGUCGCUGAUUGAACAACCCAACUCUAGAAGCGAGCCCGGACCCCGCCGCUCUCAUUGGACGCAGGCUGAGCGGCAGUCGGCCUCCCAUUGGCCGAGUGGCGGAACAACAGGCAGCAGGAUGGCCCGGCCGUCCGUCCACCCACCCACCGAGGCCACAUGGAACAAUAACCCGAGCUCGCAGCCCCAAACAGGGCGAGGAGGAGCCUGACCUCGGUGUCACCACUGAGGGUCAGCAGGGCCAGCCUGCCUUUGCUGCGCUUCUUAAUGGCCGGAGCCGAGCCACGUGGAGCGGGAGAUGGGGCUUUGAGAAAGUCAGUGCCUGUCUGACACCCUGCCUUUACAGCUUGCCAACUCCAUUACUGCCCAAGCGGAUUUCAUCAUCAAUUUUGCACAGGAUAUAGUGUCAACUUUAGCGUUGUUGUCCAUAUUUACCCUAAUGUAUGUCCAUAAACUGUCGUGGCUUCUAAUCCAUCCAAUAGAGCAAACAGCACAGAAAGUUAAAGUCAAGUUGGUGAAACUGUCUAGAAUUCUUAUUGUUGGAGCAUUUUUCUGAGUAUGAGUACAUACGUACGGUUUCAGCACCAAUACCAGUGUUGGUGCAUUCUAACUUAAAGCCUCAUGUUUAAGGCGAAGGUUUUUUGCCAUGACUUUCAUCAAAGUCUACUUUGCAGCCAUCCAUUUUCUCUUAUGCUUGACCUCAUUAGGGUGAGUUGAAGCAUAAACCCAGUUUACAUGCUUUGAGCAAAAUUUUGGGUACACCAUGGAGGUUCCACACCCAGCCUUAUCACAUGAGCAUUCGUAUUCAGUCUUCAGCUGAGCCUAUAUGGUGAAUACCUUGUUUAGUGUCA